UCUCCAAAGUGAAAGGAACAAUGCUUUGGGUUUCAUCCAAUCUCUUUGGCUAGCUGCUCGGUUGCCUUGUGUUGAUGAGUCUUCGAAUCCUCCCUUCACAAGAAGAAAUGCACUGGUACACGUACUGGGGAGAACUAAUGUUGAAGACAUAAAAGGCUUUAUUUGCAAAUCAACUAUCUCUGAAAAUGUAUCUGCUCCACAGCUUCUGUGCAAGAUCUUUAUGCAAAGAGUGGGAAAGUUUGACUAUGUUACAGAGAAGGAUCUUUAGAUCAUAUACCACAUCAUCUGUGAAUACCCCUUAAAUCUCUCGACUCUCAUAAUUCAUCAAAUGCAAGAAGCCAUAACAAAGAGCAAAGAUAAUCUACCUUUCAGAAUGCCCCAAACUCUUGUGUUCAAAUAUGCUGGAAUUGAUCCUAAAAAUGGGCUGAGUAGAGUGCUGCUGCAUUGCUUAGAUACCCAUUAUAGGCACUAUCUCAACAUAAUGGGAUAUGAAAAGAUAAGAGAAAAAUGGAUAAUAAAUGAGAAAAAGGAAGGGGGAAGAAUUAGAUGACAAGC
rnacentral:lncRNA from 1 species